rnacentral:misc_RNA from 1 species
UCUCCGUAGGUGAACCUGCUGCAGGAUCAUUACAGAGUAUCAUGACCUUCGGGGUAGAUCUCCCACCAUGUGUAUUAUAUACCUUUUGUUGCUUUGGCGGGCCGCCUCGGCCACCGGCUCCGGCUGGUGCGUGCCCGCCAGAGGACCCCAAACUCUGAAUGUUAGUGUCGUCUGAGUACUAUCUAAUAGUUAAAACUUUCAACAACGGAUCUCUUGGUUCUGGCAUCGAUGAAGAACGCAGC